UACGUAGGUCCCGAGCGUUGUCCGGGUUUAUUGGGCGUAAAGGGAACGCAGGCGGUCUUUUAAGUCUGAUGUGAAAGCCUUCGGCUUAACCGGAGUAGUGCAUUGGAAACUGGGAGACUUGAGUGCAGAAGAGGAGAGUGGAACUCCAUGUGUAGCGGUGAAAUGCGUAGAUAUAUGGAAGAACACCAGUGGCGAAAGCGGCUCUCUGGUCUGUAACUGACGCUGAGGUUCGAAAGCGUGGGUAGCAAACAGG
rnacentral:rRNA from 1 species